AUUGAACGCUGGCGGCAGGCCUAACACAUGCAAGUCGAACGGUAGCACAGAGAGCUUGCUCUCGGGUGACGAGUGGCGGACGGGUGAGUAAUGUCUGGGAAACUGCCCGAUGGAGGGGGAUAACUACUGGAAACGGUAGCUAAUACCGCAUAACGUCGCAAGACCAAAGUGGGGGACCUUCAGGCCUCACACCAUCGGAUGUGCCCAGAUGGGAUUAGCUAGUAGGUGGGGUAAUGGCUCACCUAGGCGACGAUCCCUAGCUGGUCUGAGAGGAUGACCAGCCACACUGGAACUGAGACACGGUCCAGACUCCUACGGGAGGAAGCAGUGGGGAAUAUUGCACAAUGGGCGCAAGCCUGAUGCAGCCAUGCCGCGUGUAUGAAGAAGGCCUUCGGGUUGUAAAGUACUUUCAGCGGGGAGGAAGGCGGUGAAGUUAAUAACUUCACCGAUUGACGUUACCCGCAGAAGAAGCACCGGCUAACUCCGUGCCAGCCGCCGCAGUAA
rnacentral:rRNA from 1 species